ACGCUUUAAAUAUUUCGACUGCAGUUACCGCUGCAUUGAUGAUAUUAGAUACGUACAUGUUAAACUAGUGCAGUAACUGCAUCAACUAUAUAGUAUAUCAGCAAGGUAACGUACGUAGAAGUAUUAAUGAUCGUGUUAAACUAUAUAUUGACUAUUUGGUGCAGCCGCAACUUUGGAUACACACACACACAAUAAUAGUUUCAACGUUCUAAUCCAAUUUGGAUGAUUUUUGUUUUUUUUUUUUUAUACUAAAAACGUUAGGAGGAUAAGUUUAACAAAAAUAACUGUAGACUGAAGAAGACAGAGGAAAAAAAAAAUGAAAACUAAUACGAAGUGAUAAGAA
rnacentral:lncRNA from 1 species